UCAAGCAGCACGAGCUGCUGAGCCAGGAGCAGAGCGUAAACCAGCUGGAGGACGACGGCGAGCACAUGGUGGAGCUGCGGCACCCCGCGGUGGGGCCCAUCCAGGAGCGCUGGGGGCAGGGCGAGAGUGAGAAGGGACAUGGUGGGCGGGGAAGGCGGGGAGGUGGGGUGGACGUGGGUUGGGGGGCGGGGCGUGGUCCGAGGGCUGCGUGUUGCGGUACCCAGGCCCACCAGGAGGCCCUGAAGAUGGAGUGGCAGAACUUCCUGAACCUGUGUAUCUGCCAGGAGACCCAGCUGCAGCACGUGGAGGACUACAGCCGUUCCAGAAGAGGCCGACUCAGUCAGCCAGACCCUGGAGAAGCUCAACUCCAACUUGGAUGCCAAGUCCAGCCCUGCACCUAGGGGUCCCCCUGGCACCCCCACAGAGCUGCUGCAACAGCUGGAGGCAGAGGAGAAACAGCUGGCCAUCACUGAGAGGGCCACUGGGGACCUGCAGCUGCGAAGCCGGGAUGUGGUCCCCCUGCCACAGCGAAGAAACCUGCCUUAGCAGCCCCUGCACGUGGACAGCAUCUGUGACUGGGACCCAGGAGAAGUGCGAACUCCCCCACCUCACCCCUGCCACCAUCCAGCCCCACCUAGCCCAUCCCCUGCCCCUGCCCAAGCCCAUCCCUGCUCCAUCCCCAGCUGUCUCCUGCGCCCACUUUUGCCCUACUCCUUCCCUUGACGCAGACCCUCCUCUCUCCAAGUCCUGUCCUGCCUCUUUUCUACCCCAGCACCUCCCACUCUACUCUUGUCCCUGUUCCAGCUGCUGUCCCCAUCUGUCUCUGUCCCCAGCCCCUACUCUGCCCUGGCCUUGGACCCCUGCCCCCUGAGCCCACAGCAGCCGCUCCCUUUCUGUGCUCGCAGGUGCAGCUGCUGCGGGGUGAGCGGUAUAAGCUGAUAGAUAACACUGACCCGCACACCUGGGUCGUGCAGGGCCCUGGUGGGGAGAACAAGUGUGCUUCCGCCGCCUGCUUCUACAUCCCAGCACCAUACCCUGAUGCCGUGGCCAGUGCCUCCCGGUAGGUCUGUGUCGGGAUACUCAGGGGCAGGCUGUGGGCAGAGCAGACCGGCCCUGUGCUGUCCAAGCCCAUGGCCCGGCAGACCCCUGCUGAAAGGCCGGCCUUCACCUGAAGCUGCGUCUACUGCGGCUGGGGAGGGUGAGAGGCAGAGUAAGGACCUCUUUCUCCGAUCACCUCUUCGUUCUAGGCUGGCCUCGGAGCUGCAGGCCCUGAAGCAGAAAUGGGCCACAGUCCAGAGCCGCCUGAAGGCCAGCACUGUGGAGUCUGUUCAGCCCAGCCAGCAGGGUACCCAGGGUGGCCCGGGGAGGGGUGGCUGUGGGGCUGGAAGGAGUAGAUUCUGACUUCCGACUGGUCUGUGAUGGGCAGGGGUUGCCUUGGGUUAGGGACCAUCACUCUGGGGAUUUCAUCUCUGGGGUGGCCCUGCCCAUCCCCUCCACCCUACCCCGACAGGACCCUCUGUGGGCACCUGGUGGGGGUACCCAUCUGCCAGUCUGGAGAUGGGCCCUGGGCCCUCACCAGCACCUCUGCCCCCAGCUGCAUCUGGCUUGGCCCUGGCCAACCCACAGGCCCAGAAGCUCCUGACACAGAUGACCCGGCUGGAUGGAGACCUGGGACAGAUAGAGAGGCAGGUGCUGGCCUGGGCACGGGCCCAGCUGAGCCGCACCACGCCCCUGGAGGACCUGGAGGGCCACAUCCACAGCCACGAGGUGGGUGAGCGGCGGAAAGAGGCGGCUGCGAUGAGAAGCGGCCCGGCCCUGGUGCUCACACUUGAGGGAGGUGAGGCAAGCGCAGGAGCAGUGGCUGGGACGGAGGCGGAGAAGGGUGUGGACAGACCCGGGCUCAGACAAGCUGGUUCCCCUCCUGGCUCCUCUACUGACCAGCUCUGUGAUCUUAGACUACAUAACUUUCUGGGCCUUGGUUUCCUCAUCCCUGAAGCAGAUGUAAUAAUGCCCAGCUCACCUGAUCAUUCAGGAAGGUUCCAGUAGGGCCCAAUGUCAACAACUCCAGGAGGUAUUCUGGCGAAGCUCCUGAAAUAGCAAGGAAGCCUGGAGAAUCUUAGGAAGAAAUGUCCCCUGGCUGCAAGGGGGGGCCUUCCUGGGGAGGUUGCAGCAUUGUGUAAACUCCUUACCCAAGAACAGCAAGCUCUCUGCCACGUGGACUCAACACUCCCAAAAGUGCUCAAAGUGAAACCCACACCGGGCCACAGUCUGGGUUAUCCUUCCAAACUAGUUUCUUUUAUUUUCUUGAGACAAAGUCUCUCUGCAUCACCCAGGCUGGAGUGCAGUGGCGCUAUCUCGGCUCACUGCAACUUCUGCCUCCCAGGUUCAAGUAAUUCUCCUGCCUCAAUCUCCGGAGUAGCUGGGAUUACAGGUGCACACCACCAUGCCCAACUAAUUUUUGUAUUUUUAGUAGAGACGGGGUUUCACCAUGUUGGCCAGGCUGAUGUCGAACUCCUGACCUCAAGUAAUCCACCCAUCUUGGCCUCCCUGAGUGCUGGGAUUACAGGCAUGAGCCACUGCGCCUGGUCUGUUUCUUGAGAUGGGGUCUCACUUUGUCACCCAGGCUGGAGUGCAGUGGUGUGCAGUGGUAUAAUCUCAGCUCACUGCAACCUCCACCUCCCAGGCUUGAGUGAUCCUCCCACCUCGGCCUCCCAAGUAGCUGGGACCACAGGUGUAACACUGAGCCCAGCUAAUUUUUUUGGUAGAGAUGGGGUUUUGCCAUGUUGCCCAGCUCAUGUGACAGUGAGCUGUAGACGAAUGUUUGGAGUCAUUGGAUGAUUACUAGAAAAUGAGCCAUGAAAUGGGAUGAGAACAUGAGACAGUGUAGAAACUGGGAACAUAAAUGGCUGCAGGUCUGAGAACGUAACAUGACAUUACUGGGUAGAGGCAGAACAUUCUAGGAGAACACUGAGAAUGGGAGUUCAGGGUGUGGGAAAUCCAGGGGAGUUCACUCAGGGCUCCAGUAAUUGGUUUUGUGUCCUGAAGGGGCAGUCACCCAGCUGAAUCAGAGUCAGGCUGACACUGACCCAGAUCCCUGUGACCAGGACUCUCAGCAAUGACACAGAGGUGACCUGGGGGAGCAGUGGUCUUAGGAUGGGAGGAGGAAGAGCCCCCAUGUGGGACACGUGGACACAGGAAGAGGUGCAGGUGCUGGCCUGUGAACCUGGUCUUCACCUGAGGGAGGGGCAAGUGGAGGGCAGGUACCCAGAUGAUGGUGGACAGUGGCCACUCUUGUAACUCCUUGAACUUCUUUUCCUUUCUUUCCCCUCUGGGAUGAGAAGGCCAUGACAAGGGUAUUUUUUCCCUUGUUUCCCAAGACUGCCUGAAUUUCAGAUUGAUGUUUUGUACAUGGGAGUGGCUGUGCCUUGACCUGGUUGCUGUUGAAGGAAUAUUGGAAAGGUUGUGAAGCCAGAACUGUAACUUUCUGUGAUAGAAACAGCCUGGCCUGUGUCCCUACCCACGUCCCAGCAUCCACAGGACAACACUCAUCAUGAGCUAAGGGGGCAGGUGUGGGCCACAGUGAUACACAUACUGGGCCACUUAGGCAAACCUGUUGUUUUCCUCUCCUGUCAGGACCACAAAACACCCAGCCACGUGGUUAGCAUAUGACUAANNNNNNNNNNNNNNNNNNNNNNNNNCAUCCUUCCUGCACAAAUGAAGGGCACCGUCACCUGCCUCCCUCCAGCACCUGAAGUCUUUCUUGCUGGGACAGAGGGUAUUGGAGCUGCACUUGUCCCAGCCCCGGAGAAGAAGCUAUGCUUUAAAGAAGCAUUCCAAGUGUUUUUACGGAAUUUUUGUCAGUGUGUGAUCAUAGUUUGUGGUUCUAUAGGAAAAUGUGUGAAACAUUAUCUGCCCCCAAAUCCCAGUUGUAUAUUAUAUCAGGGUUUCUCAACCGUUUUUUUUCAUUAUUAUUCUCCUAAAGAGCCUUUUAAGAAAUCUUUUCUUUAUUUUCCCCCCACCUCAUCCCCAUAAAAUUUUAUUUACUUAUUUAUUUUGAUAGAGAUUUAUCUGUUUGUAUAGAGACAGGGUCUCACUAUGUUGCCCAGGCUGGUCUGGAACUACUGGGGUCAAGCAAUUCUCCUGGCUCAGCCUCCCAAAGUGCUGGAAUGACAGGUGUGAGCCACCACACCUGGCCCCCACAAAAGUUUUAUACCACAGAUAUGCUGUAUACAGCUUAGGUGCUGUAUGUGGAUCUGUACUUCAUGCAUAAGAAGAGUUAUUUUUCUGCCAUUAAGAACCAAUUUUCACCCCCCUGGGAACCGCUUCACCCUGUUGAGAAUGUGUGCCCAUGCCUUUCCUUCCCUCUGGGACCGAGUGGCAACCACACAGCUCUAUUUUAUUUUAUUUUUGAGGUGGAGUCUCUCUUUGUCACCCAGGCUAGAAUGCAGUGGACCAAUCUCGGCCCACUGCAACCUCCACAUCCUGGGUUCAAGCGAUUCUCCUGCCUCAGCCUCCUGAGCAGCUGGGAUUACAGGCGUGCGCCACCACGUCUGGCUAAUUUUGGUAUUUUUAGUAGAGACAGGGUUUCACCAUGUUGGCCAGGCUGAUCUCGAACUCCUGACCUCAAGUGAUCCGCCAGCCUCGGCCUCCCAAAGUGCUGGGAUUACAGGUGUGAGCCACUGCGCCCUGCCAGCUCUGUCUAGUUGAGAGGUGCAGUGCCUCUCCUGUGGGCAGGAGUGCUGUGGGACCUCCCGCCCCUGCCGCCUGCCCGAG
ensembl:lincRNA